GCCGCCGCCAGGGAACUCCGACUCGCUGUCGACCGAGCUUUUGGAGAUUGGUCAGGGACCUUCGCGAGCAUGUUAGGGAGUCGCUUCGGCCUCAAACUGGCAGAAGACGUCGUCGGCUGGUUGGGUGGCACGGAAUAACCACCACCGGCAGCCGCGCAGGAAGCCCUGGCCCCAUCGACUGAAGCCUUGUCCGGGUAGGCAUCUACCUUUCCUUCCCUUUAGGUUCUCGUUCUUCAGUGCGUAAUGUCGAUCCACUGUGGGUUGGGUGCCCGGGACCGCCGUGCGGGGCUUCGCCUGUGCAUGCGCCAUUGCUCUGCACGGAUGCGCCGCCACCCUGUGCCUAUGUGCCGGUUGGGAGACUCAUCGGCAUAGGGUCGUGACCCAGCCAUGGCGCCGCCAUGCUGGACGGUGUCUCUGCUAUGCGGGCCGAGGAAAAAAGAGUGGGUUGGGGGUGAAUCAGUGCGAGCCGUAGGAUGUAGAGUGUACGGCUGAGAUCGGAUCCUAGGCAUACCGUUUCGAGAUUGAAUCCAGACCCUCGAUCUAGAUCGGACCGUUAAGAAUCAGCCAUGAUACCUUUUGAUCUGGGCCGUUGUAACCAGAUCAGAGGGAGUAGAUCAGAUCGUGCCGUGGUAGAUGAUCAGCCAUAGAUGUUGAAUCCGACGGUAGUAUGGGUGUACCGAUUCAUAAUCUGGUCCGCCAGUGUUAGAUCGGACGGCUAGAAAGCCCUCAUACCCCUUCAGCUGAACAGUGUUACAAAGAAGCCCCUCGUCUUUUGUAGAAUCAAUCCGCCGUCCUCGCGGAAGUAGUCUGAGUCUGGUAGAUUUUAUAGAAUAAACUCCGACCUUCUCUGUAUUAAUGUGCCCAGUCCAGAAGCCUGAGGAAUUUCAGAAUUUAUUUUAGAAAAUGAUUUUUAAUACAAAAACAAUACUAGAAACUUGUGAAAUUCAUAUUUAAUUCAUUUUAGCUCCAAAUUAAUUUAUUCCAGUUUCAAUAAUUUUGUUUUAAUAUUAUCUAUCACCUAGUAACUCUGUUUAGUCAUGAAACCUAGAUCAAAAUUAUUCACUUGAUUUAUGCUAUACUAGGUAUUUAAUAACUUCAGAAAUUCAUAACUUAAUAAUCGUAACUCCGAAUUUAGUGGUUCUUGUUUCUACGAUCUCGUUACGCAGCGAAGAAUAUUAUUAUGCAGUUUGUUCUUAUGUUUGGUGUGAUGUUAAUUUUGCCCAUAUCAUGUUUGUUUGUAUUGCUACGUCUAGCAGCGAGGUUACGUGUCACCUGAAGAGCAAGUUGGUACCUGGAAUCUCAAGUCCCAGGCAAGUUGUGCCCUUGAUCACUUCUUUUUACCCACUCAUGUUCUAAUUAAUCAUAAUGAUCUGCAUAGGUUAAUUUUGAUGGGACCCAAUAGGUUACCCUAGUUUGUCUAUCUUUAUACCUUGUUUACCACUGAACUUUUUGGGUAGUACUUGCUAGUGCUUUAUGUGGUUUUGGGUAUGAAGAUACAUUAUUCAUGAUGACACUGUUAUUAUCUGUUUAUUAUUAUUGUUCAUGAUAAGAUCAUUAUGUUAAUUGGAACAUGGAGAACCACCCGGGAAAACAGUGCUACCACAAGGGUUUAAUGGGACGCCCUUGGCUGACUAACUAGAAAAGCUAGUGGAGGACUACCUUACCCGAAAGGGGCAAGGGCAGUAGGGGAGUGGUCAGUGUAGGGAGGUCCUCGGGUUGAUUUUGCUGCGAUGGCGGUCAGGCGAGGGAUUUCUGCACUGGAGCUUCCUAUAAACUGUAGCGGGUUUUCUGAAACUAGUGGAACUUUGUAAAGGCCUCGUAGUGUUACCCUGCCUCGCCUCCUCGGUAGAGGUGUAUGGGAUUGGCCGUCUCUUGGCAGAUGGGUAACAUGACUUGUGGGUAAAGAUGUGCAACCUCUGCAGAGUGUAAAACUGGUAUACUAGCCGUGCUCACGGUCAUGAGCAGCUCGGACACUCACAUGAUUAAAUUAUGGAACCUAAACUCAAUUUGUCAUAUGCAUUGCAUCGCAGGUGAGGUUGUUACUUUUGUUCUACUACUUAAUUGGGUUAGUAUUUACUUAUACUUAGUAAUUGCUAAUAAAAUUUUGACCAACUUUAAAAGCAAUGCUCAGCUCUAACCAUCCUCUUUGCCUCUUUGGUAAGCCUUACACUUCACAUGAGCUCCCACCUUUGGCGAGUUCAUGCACAUUAUUCCCCACAACUUGUUGAGCGAUGAACGUAUGUGAGCUCACUCUUGCUGUCUCACACCCCCCCACAGGUCAAGAACAGGUACCGCAGGAUGAGGCGCAAGGAGGAUGCUGUGGCGAUUUCGUGAGAGGUCUAGGCCGUCGUCUCCCAGUCAACUUUGGGUUGCUGGACCGUUGUCUCCUUAUAAUGUAUUUAUUUAUUUAUUUUGUACAGAACUCCUAUUAUAUAGUAAAGAUGUGGCAUUCGAUCCUGUGCCAUGAUUCAUCAUAUGUGUGAGACUUGGUCCCAGCACACCUAGUGAUUAUGUUCGCGCCCGGGUCUUGGUGUCCCGAAAUCCGGGUGUGACAGAAGUGGUAUCAGAGGAAUGUUGACUGUAGGAUGAAACCUAGAUAGAACUGGACAACCAUUCUCUACUUACCUUUGCCACUCUGAUUCUUUCUAAACUUUUCUUAAUCUUUUCUCAUCUAUUUCCGCUUUACUCUGAUUAUUCUUACCCUUUCCUUCUAAAGACAAAUGUGGAUUUCACACUUUGAAAUCCUGUGCCUAAAGUGAUUUUAGGAAUAGGAGACCUACUCUUAGGAACAAAAAAAUAAAACUAUUUUUUUGGUAUUUAUGAACUUGAAUGUUUGUUCUUAUGAUACUUGUCUGAUUUGGAUCUUUGAUUGAGUGUGAUGAGUUGUGGAGUAAUGUCCACAAUUACAUCUGUAUAUACAUAUAGGCAUAAAUAUAAAUAAAUAAAAUUCAUAAGAUAAAAAAACUAGAUUAUCCUCCAUUAAAGUGUAUCCAUUUUAAUAAAUACAUCUUAUCUUAAAGGGUUCUCUCUUAUCUUAAUAGAUCUGUCUUAUCUCGAAAAGAUUCUAUCUUAUCCUAACAGAUCUAACGGGCCUCAAAAGAUUCUACCUCAUCUUUAUGGAUUCAUCUUGCCCUAAUUAGCAUAUUUAUCCCACUCUAGAAUAACAAUCAUGAUCUAAUCCAAAGUAAUCAUAUAUUACCUAGUCUAACCUAGUUAUACCAAUCUAAUCUAGAUCCCAUCUAAUCUAAUAGGGUCCAAUCUAAAGUGAGUUACUUAAUGGACCAGUUAAUACUUGUGAAAUAGAUUAGACCAUAUCCACAUGUUUUAACCUAGUUCACACUACACUAAAUAAAGAAUGAUAGACCAACCCAACCAAUAGAGUCAUGAUGGAUUGCAUAAUCUGCUUAUCCCCACCUAACAUUAAGCAAACUUUUGACCUACAUAAUGUAGUCUAUCUCCUCCAUAUCUAUCUUAACCAUAUUCCCCAACCGAUGAUAUACACUAACAAUGAAUCAAUGAGACCAAGACUGGAGAAGAAAAGAUCAAUCUCGUCAAGGAAGGAGAGAAGUCAAACUCAACCUUCAGAUGCAUUACCACCCAGCACGGAGUUCUUCCUCACCACAAACUUUUUCACCUUUAGCUAUUCAUGCCCUAACCUAUCCAUCUUUUAUCCCACAUAAUAAGUAAUUGGAUAACUAUGCUCCCCUAAUCACCCACUAAUGACUAGAAAAAAAUGAGACUCUAGAUUUUUGAACCAAUUAUAGAUUAAGAGCUUAAAUUACCAAUCCUUCUGUAUCCCUUUUCUUACAAAUCUCGAGGACGAGAUUCCUUUUAAGGGGGGUAGGAUUUGUAAAGCCCAAAAUUUGUAUAAGGAAAAAAAUAAUAAAAUAAAUAAAUAAAUAAAUAAUGCUUUGCACUCAUCUUGAUUUUUUUGUUUGUUUGUUGCAAUUUAUGAUUGAAAUAAAAAAAUUUAAUUAACUUAGCUCUAAAUUAGACAUGAAUAUUAAAUUUAAAAUAGAAAGUAGAUAUUAGAAAUAAAAUAUAAGGUAAUAUAAUGUAUCCAUGUAUGUAUAUUUUGUUGGUUGGUUUGUACGCGGCGUCCUUUAGGUAAAGUCAUAAAAAUUAGGAUAUCACAAUUAGAUAUUUAAGAAAGUACUCCUUCCUACCCGCGUGUAGCACCUGAAAUUCUAAUUUCAAAUUUAAAUAAAAAUAUCUACUAAGAUUUAAUUAAAUUGAAUGACUUUUAUGUGGAUUGUACAUUUAAAAUAAUAUUCUUUUAAAAUAAAUAUUUUAUUUGUGCACUGCAUGCUUAACAUUAUUUUUGCAUGUGUGAAUUCAAAUUCCAUCUAAAUAAUUAGAGUUAGAUUUAAACUCUUUUCUAGAAAUUCAAAAAAAAAGUUUUUUUAUUCCUAUGGUUUGCAUGCUGAUCUCUUUACCCCAUUCAUUAGAACUGCCUUCCCUGAGUUUGUUUAGGACUUUGUUCUUUAUCUGCAUAAGCAUUGAGACCUAAACGAGAAUCCCAACGAGUAACGUGUAGGGUCCAUUCGUCGGGGUCGUCUCUUACCUAGACUCAUGAUGAAUAUUUUUGUGAGUUCGAAGACCCAAUAAACUUUAUAACUAAGGCCCUUAACAUGUGCAUGUCAAUAAUUAUACUAAAUAGGAUAAUAUAUAAAAUACAAAUAAAUAUUAAGUAUAAAUUAUUUUAUAACAUAUGAUUACUUCUAUAUUAUUGCCAUAUUCACGUGAUAACCUUGGAAUUUCCAUCCGAUGCAUGCCUAUCAUUAGAUCGGUGAGUAUUUUGUGUCUAACGCAAUAUCCAAGCUAAUAAAAUAAGUACCCUCGUUCUCACCUUGGGAUGCGUCAUUUUUAAACUAAACACCCGAUAAACCAAAUCAUGUAUGGAUGACAAUUAUCUGUUGGAUGGAUAAGCUCAUGAAUGAGCUGCAUGCGGUCGUGCAGUUAAAAGUCAUUAUUACCUACCCCUACUGCAUAUAAAAGUAGACGCCAGGGCCAUACGCAGAUCACAAAGCAUGCAAGCCGCUAGCGAAUCAUAGGGAGCAGUAGUCCCAGCCGCCGCCAGGGAACUCCGACUCGCUGUCGAUCGAGCUUUUGGAGAUUGGUCAGGGACCUUCGCGAGCAUGUUAGGGAGUCGCUUCGGCCUCAAACUGGCAGAAGACGUCGUCGGCUGGUUGGGUGGCAUGGAAUAACCACCACCGGCGGCCGCGCAGGAAGCCCUGGCCCCAUCGACUGAAGCCUCGUCCGGGUAGGCAUCUACCUUUCCUUCCCUUUAGGUUCUCGUUCUUCAGUGCGUAAUGUCGAUCCACUGUGGGUUGGGUGCCCGGGACCGCCGUGCGGGGCUUCGCCUGUGCAUGCGCCAUUGCUCUGCACGGAUGCGCCGCCACCCUGUGCCUAUGUGCCGGUUGGGAGACUCAUCGGCAUAGGGUCGUGA
rnacentral:lncRNA from 1 species